AGCUAUGACUACACCCUCAACAAUCGGCCUUUCAGACAAGGUGCCUAUUCAUGAAGGGACGACAAUUACAACAUUAUAUCCUGUUAGACUAGUUUGUUGCUUUUCUUAUACUCGCUACAUCGUCUUGUGUUUGUUUGAGAGCUCUGUAGUCACAUGGUAUAUUAAUAUCAUUCUGUUGGAGACAUCUGUAGUCACAUGGUAUAUUAACGUCUUUCUGGAGCAUUAGAGGGGCGUGUCCUUACAGGUGUUUGCCUGGUGUUGUCUCGACAACUGGCACAAGGUAAUUUGAGAUAAUACAACGUUUCGAUUCUUUGAGGGAAGAGACCCAGAAGGGAGGGAGGGUGACCUCACUACGGCACCAGUCUAGAGUGUGUGUAGACUACAUGUGAUGGUUCACCUGAUAGAGAGAAGGACUGGAGCAUACAGCAAUACGAAUAUUAGCGUGGAGUGAUAACAUUACUUGUUGUGAGAGUCUCCUUUACUUGUGAGAGUCUCCUUUACUUGUGAGAGCUGAGCUGAGCUGAGAUGGACGUGCGUCUGACCAGUCCCACUGAGGAAAACCCAGAGGAGUAUCAGCAAAGGAUCAUGGGAGAUAGAAUCCGGAGACAAGCGCUGACUUCCUACAAAGAGGAUCUGGUCAGAGCUGCACAGAGUACUCCUGUGUUUCAGAGACCUACAGUGGCAGAGAUGGAACGAGAAAGAGGAAGAACUCUGAAGAUUCUGUUCCUGUUGACACUCUGUCUACAAGCCUUCCCUGGUCAAUGCCAAGAUUCAGGGCAG